GGUAAACGCUGGCGGCGUGCCUAAAACAUGCAAGUCGAACGCAGCAUCGUCUUCGGAUGGUGGUGAGUGGCAGACGGCUGAGUAACACGUGGGUGACGUACCCGUAGGUGGGGAAUAACUGCCCGAAAGGGUGGCUAAUACCGCAUACGCCUGCAUCUUCGUUGGUGCAGGGAAAGUCUUUUCGGAGACGCCGAUGGAGCGGCCCGCGACCGAUUAGCCAGUUGGUGGGGUAACGGCCUACCAAAGCGACGAUCGGUAGCUGGUCUCAGAGGAUGAU
rnacentral:rRNA from 1 species